GCAUAUGGAGGUUCCCAGGCUAAGGAUCCAAUUGGACCUGCAGCUGCUGGCCUACACAACAGCUGCAGCAACGUUGGAUCCAAGCCUCAUCUGUGACCUACACCACAGCUCACAGCAACGCUGAAUCGCUAACCCACUGUGUGAGGCCAGGGAUUGAACCUGCAACCUCGUGGUUCCUCGAUGGAUUCCUUUCUGGUGCGCCAUGAGGGGAACUCCUACACAUACAUUCUUUAAGGUCUGAAGAAAAUACACUGAACAUUAACACCGCUUGAUGAAUUUAAGAGUGGUUUCCAAUUUUUUCUUUAUUCUGGACUGCAUUUUGUAAUUUUUCACGUAAAUCAUUUUUAUAAUUAGGACAAUGCUAAUGGCUAUUUUUACUGUAAAAGUAGGGACAGAGUUAACAGAGGAAAUGUGCCUCUCUUAAAAGGUAUUUUGUUUUGCACAAUUUCAAGCAUGCAAAAAAUGCAUGUACAGAAAAGUCAGAGCACAAGUACACUAAAAUAUUAAGAAUGGUUGUCCAAGUGGUAGGAGUAUGAGAUUUUUUCCCUUCCUACAUUUGUGUAUAGUCCACAUUUAAAAAUAUUUUCAUUGCAAAUGUGUUACUUUAUAGCUAAAAGUACUGGAAACCAUGUAUAGUUCUUGCUGUUGCCUUCACAGAAAUAUUUAUCUACUGAAAUCUCAUUAUUUCAUGUCUUCACUCAGCAUCACUUAACUGUAAUGAAAAUUAUAUGUUUAGAAUGUUGUGUUUUGGACAAGUCUGCAGCAUUGCUGCUGUUGAGAAAGCCUGGUAAACCUAUACCACCUGGACUUUACAGCCCUACCUUGAAGUAUACAAACAAUUAAAUUAGUCUUUACUUAGUGUCAGCUUUCACAAAGAGACUUUACUGUACUAAAGAGUGAUAUCUUCUGGCGGAUUUACUCUUCUGCUUUAUAAAUUUCCAUACGAUCAAAACCAGCUGCUGAAGUGCAGAGAAUGAGGCCAAACCUGAUUCUAACGGCGAAAACAGUUCAGUCAAAAAAUAGAAAUCUCCAAGCCCUCCUUUGAAAAUAUUGGUAAUUUUUGUGCAUCACAGGUGUUUUAGUAAGCUUGUAUAUUUAAGCAUUUUUGAAAACCCUUUUUCUCAUUUCUGGUGGAUUUUUGCUUUAUUGUACUUUUUAUCAGAGUUUCUGUCCUCUGUUCUCUGUGGCAACAAAACUUCAGAAGUAGCCUAAAAUCACCAAAUGAUCAGUUAAAUAGAUUAUAGCUUUCAAAAGUAUAUGUACACUAUAUACAAAAAAAUCAUUUUUAAAUGGAAAGAAUGAUUGGAUACAAUAAUUUAAACUAGUAUGCAAAAAUCCAUAAAAAUAUUAAGAAUAACAAUCCCAAGUACUCCAAAAUUUUAGUUCCAUAUUUUCUUUUCGAAAAUAUUGUUAGUAUUUUCUUCCCUAAUUUCAAAAGCUGUAUGUUAUCCACUUUGAAUUAUGUCUAGCAAUUUAUCUAAAGAUACUUGCAUAAGCAUCUUUGCAUUGUUUUCUAAAUCCACCCAUUAGAAUUUUUUCUGCCAACAGAUGCAUUUUAAAAUUCAGAACCUUGGGAAGUUCUCAUGCAGCGGGUUAAGGAUCCAGCAUUGCUGCAGCUGUGGCACCUGCAGUGCGGGUUUAACCCCUGGCCCAGAAACUUCCACAUGCCACAGUUGUGGCCAAAAAAAAAAAAAAAAAGAUAAAAUACAAUUCAGAACUUUGCAUUUCAAAAAACUGUAGGCACAUAUAUCAUAUAUUAGUUCAUGCAGCUUACACUUUCACCUUGCUGGAUCUGGGAACACCAGAUAUUCAAACAUUAAUAUAUCUGAACCAGACAGUGGGUAAAGCCACAGUAAGUUAGGUGAAUAAAAACUAUAGAGAGCUUUUGGUCAGUUCAAGAAGUGUUCUGACACCAAGAGCUAUAAACGGGAGGAUGUGUAAAGAGACGGAGGGAAGGAGAGAGGAAGGGCCUUUUGUUUGCAGAAAUUUAGAUUUUGAAAUUGCAGGUAAGUGAUUUCAGAUAGGACUAGUUACUUUAUAAAUCUUAUUUGUACAGUAAAAUACCAUACUAUCCUACAAUGUUAGGUGAAGAAAGUUACAAAAUGAUGUAAAAAGCACAAUUCUCUAGUGUGGGGGAAAACUGUGUUAUGUAUAAAUAAAUUACAUGGUUACUAGAAAGGUGAUGUUACAUAGGAUAUUUAUUUCACUUUUUACCUUUUGGAAUUGAAAAAAAAUAAAUAAGCAGCAUAUUUUAAUUUUACUACUGAAAAGAAAAGAUGAUUAUUGAUUCAACAAUAUUUAGUGAAUUCAUAUUCUGUUAUUGGGGACUGUUGUAAGGACAUAAUUUUUUAAUUAAUUAAUUUAUUUGCCACACUGGAGGCACGUGAAAGUUCCUGAGCAGGGCAUCAGACUGAACCACAGCAAUGGCAAUGCUGGAUGCUUAACCGCUAGGCCACCGGGAACUCCAGGACACAGCAGUUUUUAAAAAGUUACUUCUCUCAUGGAGUUUACAUUCUGCUAAUGUCAUACUACAACAACAGCAACAAAAAAAGAUUUAAAGUGCUAUGAAGAAAAAUAAAACAGAAGGGUUAUUCAAAGUAGGAUCACCAGGCUUAUGAGGUAACACUCAUUUUAAAAUUUUAAAAUGAAUAUUCAUUAUCAGAAAGAAAAGCAGUAUACCAUCAAGUCCGAAGAAUGUCGAGAGCAUCUACAUUCCAACCCCCGAGACCCAAUUAUGAUAAAGAGCACCCAGAAACCUGUACAAAUAAAACUUUGUAAAACUAAAAAGGGGAGUUCUCUGUGGCUCAGCAGGUUAACGACCUGGCACUGUCACGGCUGUGGCUUGGGUUGCUGCUGUGGCAUGAGUUCAAUCCCUGGCCCAGUGCACUCUGCUAAGCAAUGUUUAACUCACAUGAGGCUUUUAAGAAAAGGUUAAAGAUGCAAUAUUAUAAACACAGGAAGAAUAAAAUUAAAGAUAUUCUAUGGGGACAAAAAAGUUAAAGCUAUCAAAUAUCUAACAAGGAUUCAGAAUUCCAUUGACUUCUGACGCAGAAAUUUUCCUAAAUGGGUAGGAUAGCAUCUACCGAUACAGAAAACUUAAUAAGCUGUACCCUGAAUUUAAGGAAACAGAGUGACCAAACUCAAGAUAAGCAAUAAUAAAGGGUUAAAUAUAUAGCAACUCUUGCACACACUGCUGAAAGCCUGGAAGGUGAAGCAAAUGAAGAGCCGGCCAACCAGAAGAGAAUUAUUUCUGGCCUUCCGUCCGGUGUGGAAUUUGGCUCUCAGUGCUCAGGACAGUAGCAGAAGAGGCGGCUGGCUCCUGACCUCGAGAGCUUUUUUGAUUAAGUAUCUCUCACUCUCCCCCUUCCACCCAGAAGUCACUUUAAAAAAAGACCAAUGAGCAAUAAAAACAACUUUUUUUUUUUAAAUUAGAGAAGAGUCUGAAAUAACAUUUGAAGUUUAGCAAAACCAUAUUCCCGAUAGAAAAGAAAAUUCAAAAAUAUGAAAGGGAGUGGGAGACAUUUAUAUAUAUAAACUUAGAAACUUUAAGUCUAAGGUAUAUAGAUGAAAACUGAAA
rnacentral:lncRNA from 1 species